rnacentral:rRNA from 1 species
CCUACGGGAGGCAGCAGUGGGGAAUAUUGCACAAUGGGGGAAACCCUGAUGCAGCGACGUCGCGUGAGUGAAGAAGGAUUUCGGUAUGUAAAGCUCUAUCAGCAGGGAAGAAAAUGACGGUACCUGAUUAAGAAGGCCCGGCUAACUACGUGCAAGCAGGCGCGGUAAUACGUAGGGGGCAAGCGUUAUCCGGAUUUACCGGGUGUAAAGGGAGCGUAGACGGCAGAGCAAGUCUGAAGUGAAAUUCCGGGGCUUAACCCCGGAACUGCUUUGGAAACUGUGCAGCUUGAGUGCAGGAGAGGUAAGUGGAAUUCCUAGUGUAGCGGUGAAAUGCGUAGAUAUUAGGAGGAACACCAGUGGCGAAGGCGGCUUACUGGACUGUAACUGACGUUGAGGCUCGAAAGCGUGGGGAGCAAUCAGGAUUAGAUACCCGAGUAGUC